UGCAAGUCGAGCGGUAGCACAGAGAGCUUGCUCUCGGGUGACGAGCGGCGGACGGGUGAGUAAUGUCUGGGAAACUGCCUGAUGGAGGGGGAUAACUACUGGAAACGGUAGCUAAUACCGCAUAACGUCGCAAGACCAAAGUGGGGGACCUUCGGGCCUCAUGCCAUCAGAUGUGCCCAGAUGGGAUUAGCUAGUAGGUGGGGUAACGGCUCACCUAGGCGACGAUCCCUAGCUGGUCUGAGAGGAUGACCAGCCACACUGGAACUGAGACACGGUCCAGACUCCUACGGGAGGCAGCAGUGGGGAAUAUUGCACAAUGGGCGCAAGCCUGAUGCAGCCAUGCCGCGUGUGUGAAGAAGGCCUUCGGGUUGUAAAGCACUUUCAGCGGGGAGGAAGGCGUUAAGGUUAAUAACCUUGGCGAUUGACGUUACCCGCAGAAGAAGCACCGGCUAACUCCGUGCCAGCAGCCGCGGUAAUACGGAGGGUGCAAGCGUUAAUCGGAAUUACUGGGCGUAAAGCGCACGCAGGCGGUCUGUCAAGUCGGAUGUGAAAUCCCCGGGCUCAACCUGGGAACUGCAUUCGAAACUGGCAGGCUAGAGUCUUGUAGAGGGGGGUAGAAUUCCAGGUGUAGCGGUGAAAUGCGUAGAGAUCUGGAGGAAUACCGGUGGCGAAGGCGGCCCCCUGGACAAAGACUGACGCUCAGGUGCGAAAGCGUGGGGAGCAAACAGGAUUAGAUACCCUGGUAGUCCACGCCGUAAACGAUGUCGAUUUGGAGGUUGUGCCCUUGAGGCGUGGCUUCCGGAGCUAACGCGUUAAAUCGACCGCCUGGGGAGUACGGCCGCAAGGUUAAAACUCAAAUGAAUUGACGGGGGCCCGCACAAGCGGUGGAGCAUGUGGUUUAAUUCGAUGCAACGCGAAGAACCUUACCUGGUCUUGACAUCCACAGAACUUUCCAGAGAUGGAUUGGUGCCUUCGGGAACUGUGAGACAGGUGCUGCAUGGCUGUCGUCAGCUCGUGUUGUGAAAUGUUGGGUUAAGUCCCGCAACGAGCGCAACCCUUAUCCUUUGUUGCCAGCGGUUCGGCCGGGAACUCAAAGGAGACUGCCAGUGAUAAACUGGAGGAAGGUGGGGAUGACGUCAAGUCAUCAUGGCCCUUACGACCAGGGCUACACACGUGCUACAAUGGCAUAUACAAAGAGAAGCGACCUCGCGAGAGCAAGCGGACCUCAUAAAGUAUGUCGUAGUCCGGAUUGGAGUCUGCAACUCGACUCCAUGAAGUCGGAAUCGCUAGUAAUCGUAGAUCAGAAUGCUACGGUGAAUACGUUCCCGGGCCUUGUACACACCGCCCGUCACACCAUGGGAGUGGGUUGCAAAAGAAGUAGGUAGCUUAACCUUCGGGAGGGC
rnacentral:rRNA from 1 species